rnacentral:lncRNA from 1 species
UAGUAGGUGUCAAUUUUGUUGUUUAAAUGGAAAGCCCUAUAUUCCUAUCAAUCCAUACUAGUAAUUCUAUGUUUGUGUGUUUUUCCCUCACCUAACAUUUCAAUGUCUGUGUAGAUGAAUACUCCCCUGGCUCCCUGUUUUGCUCUAAUAUACUCCCUCCCUGUUUUGCUAGAUGAAUACUCCCCCAUGUUCCUCAACUUAAUCUCUUUAUCUCUCUCUUCUUCCGAACAUAGUUUUAUAUGCUUUUGUAUCGUAACAGAUCUAAGUUUUUCUUUGGAUGAUCAUGAUUUGAGAAUCAAACUCUUUUCUCUUCUUUAACUUGGUAUAUGCACUGUUCACAUCAAAAAUUUCUCUUCGCAAAAAGACGAACUAGUGCAAGACUGGUUCAAUGUGAGGUAAAUAAUUCAUUUAUAUCCCCAAAUUCAUAUGUAUCCCUUAUUUAGCUUUUUAAUUUAUGAAUUUUUGUGAUUAUUUGUAAUUGAUGUACUAUUUUUGUUUAAAAUAGAUAAAAUAUUUAUCGGUGAACAAUUCUUUUUUUAUAUAAACCCUGACUUUUUUUAAUAUAUGAGAGAUGUAAGCUUAUUAAAAUUCAUAUUGAUAAUUUGUUUCUAUGUAUUUAGUUUGCCUGAAUCAUUUUUAUUAUAUGAUUUGCUUCUUAUGUAUUUUUUUUUUUUAAUUUUUUGCCAAAGGCUAAAUAGGAUAUAUUACUGAAAAGCAUAUUCCAAAAUCAAUAAAAUUAGAUAAUGGGGUAUAAGAUUACAAAUAUGUUUGAUGCAUACAAAGGAAAUCAUUUUUUCUUCAUAUGUCACUCUAUUGUUGUUAUUGUUUUCUACAACUGAUUGAUUAUCUGAUGUAUCCUUACUGUAAUUCAUUUUAAAAAAAAAGAAAGGUGAUUCAAAUGAAAUAUGUUUAUAUAUAAUUUGAAUAUCUUAAAAAUAAACAUAUUUUUAAUUCUUUUAUUUUCCUAUUUUGCUCAUCCAUGUCUAUAAUUUUGGUGCCAAAUUUAGAGUGAUGAUGCACCUGCAGCAAGUCACAUGACGGCAGUUUGGACUAUUGAAGAAAGUGAAUUAAUUUGAUGACAGUGGUAGAAUUUAGAUGUUAUGUUUACUGUAAUAUGAUUUUGAAAUCAAAGUACAUGUUUGAUGUAAUAUGUUAUGACAGGUGAGGGCAAUUUUGAAAAACGAAUGUUGAGUUUUUGUGGAGUUAUUCUACCAUAGUUAAUGUAUGGGCCAUAUGAUUAUGAAC